rnacentral:piRNA from 1 species
GGGUGGUCUCGGCUAGUGUCGAUCUCCUGU